rfam:Picea glauca, whole genome shotgun sequence.
ACAUGCCUACAACAUAGCGUUAAUGUACUGAAUCCCAUUAGAACUUCGCAGUUAAGCAUGCUCGGGCUAGAGUAGUACUAGGAUGGGUGACCACCCAAGAAUUCCUAGUGUUUUACAUGCC